GGACGCUUAGCUCAGUUGGUUAGAGCGCAUCAUUGACGUUGAUGAGGUCAGAAGUUCGACUCUUCUAGCGUCCACCA
rnacentral:tRNA from 1 species